CCGAACCACCCAACUACCGCUAAAGUUCAUUAAGUUUCAUUUGUUUUUUUGCUGCAGACGCCCAGCUACUUAACAACUUGUCUUCACCAACAACCCACAUCGAUGGCUGCGAAAGGGGUGGCUGGUGGGUGCUGUGGCAGCUAAUCAUUUUAUCGUUAACGCCCCACUGCACCCACUUGGCCCCAUUGGAUUUGCUGGCACCAUUAACGCGAUUUUAAUGUUCCGAUUUGAUUGAGGCCAAUUGACAGUUUGCUUGUGCGCGCUGACAUCCUGUUUCCUGCCGGGGAAAUCUCACAGAAUAAAUAAGUAGGAAGCCGUUUGCGAUAAAAUAUAAUUUCAGUGUAAAUGCUGCUACAUUCUCAAUUAAGGGCUAGCACCCAAUAUUUUCCAGCUGUCUGCGCAUCCUGCACACCUUUGCACCUCAAACCGACCACUGGCCAUCGACCAGUUGAAUCGGUUUCCAUGUACCCCAGGCAAUCGAGACGACUCCCAGAUGCGGCAUCAUCGAUGACAACAGCACACAAGACGAACCCACAGGAAACUGGAAACCGAUCAACGUUCGAAUGAGCAAAAACAAAGGCUAAGAGGAGUGAAAAGUGCACGACAUAGAGGAAAAAGUUGAGCGACAUCAAAAAAAGCUGGAACAAAUUACCAAUUCUAAGUUUGGGGGCGGAACAGUGGUGCUAAAGUGCUACA